rnacentral:lncRNA from 1 species
UCGUUUUCUUCACAAGCACCCCCCUCGUUUUAAUCUUCUUCAGCAAACAAGAACAAAACGCAGAAGUACACAAGAGACCCACACCCCCUAAUUUCGUCUUCUCCGAACGACCCACCCCCUAAAGUUCACCUCCCCUGACAUGUUCUUCUUCUCCAUGAACACUGGAGAACCCUAAGACGAAAACCUCCAAACACCAGCAGCAGCCAUCGCCUCCUUCAUCUUCAUCGCCGGCUACCGUUCUUCUUUCUCCCUCGUCUCCCGUUUCUCUAUUAUUGCUGCGACGGGGACGACGGGAUUGACCAUAUAUACAUGUUUUCCGAUAGCUCACUUCUAGUACAUGUGAGGUCUGUUUCAGUUGCGUGUCGACGUUGCCGUUCGAGGGCUCCGUCCAUGGUUCGUCGUGUUUGAGUUUAACGUUGCCUCACAACUAAUGUAUUGAUCCAUUUUGAGGUUUGGUUCCUCAUUUUUCAUACUCCGUUUGCUUAAUAGUGUACUUUCAUCAACUUUGUUGUUCACUGUUAUAUGGAUGUUUGUGUUAUUUGUUCAGUUUGCUUUUAUUCUUAUUUACCGUUACGUGAGAAAACUUUGAGAUUUCCACUGGUGUUGUUUGUGUUUCCCUCUUGAUUGAAUGAAUGAUAUUGGGUGUUCUUUUAUGUUUAUUUGAACCUUGGAUGGACGAAGUUAUCAUUGCCAUGGAUUUUUAUAUAUAAGCUCAUAAGCUCGUGUUGUUCAUUUUUGUGAUAGCGUGUUAAAAUAAAUAUUUGGUGCAAGUUGCUGAAUUAAUUAAUUUAGCUCAGGAAGUUUUGGAUAAUCAUUUUUAUAUUUAGGUCAUUCUAUUCCAUAAAUAUUUUAUCCAAUGUGCUGUAAAGUUUAGUAUGAAAAAUGGAUCAUGACUUUGUUCUGUUAAUAUGUCGAACAUUUGGAUGUUUAAUUGGUUACGGCAGUAAAUUGGGAUCGAGGUGUGCCAUGCCGAAUAAAAUCUUCAAACGCAUGGCCCUCGCUUAACUAUUAAUUUUAACUCUUUAAAAAUCGAGGCAUGCCAUUAGUUGAAUUUUCUAUGGCCCUCGCAAACUUGAAAGUGCGCAGUUGCUUUAUGCGCGUUAUNNNNNNNNNNNNNNNNNNNNNNNNNNNNNNNNNNNNNNNNNNNNNNNNNNNNNNNNCGNUAUUUUAAUAAUUUACCUUCCUAAACUCGGGUGUGCAUUUCAUGUGAUCCAAAUCCAAUUCUCAACAAUGUUAUAUAAAAUGUGUCGCGGACCGCGGGUUCAUUUCAUGUGGCAUGGUUCAAGGCGUAUUUUAGAUGACGUUGAAUCUUCCUAAAAUUAACUAAAAGCGGCUAAUAAGUUAAAAUUGAAUCAUAGGCUAAAACAUGUAUUUAAAAUCAGAUAAUAGGCCAAUAAUAACAGUUGAGCAACCGUGCUAGAACCACGGAACUCGGGAAUGCCUAACACCUUCUCCCGAGUUAACAAAAUUUCUUACUCGGAUUUCUUGUUCGCGGACUGUAAUAAAGAGUCAAUCUUUUCCUCGAUUCGGGAUUUGAAUCGGUGACUUGGGACACCAUAAAUUAUUCCAAGUGGCGACUAUGAAUUUAAUAAAUAAAUAAAUCUUGUUUCAAUUGUCCUAUAAUUGGAAAAACUCCCUUAUACAUCCUCUUUACGCGGGUGCAGGUGAAAAAGGAGGCGUGACAACUCUGGCGACUCUGCUGGGGAUCGAACCCAAAAUCUCUGGUUUAGGGUUCAGAAUUUGAGCUUAUAUGAAUUGUUAUAGUUGGCUUUAUUAAUUAUCUGAUUUUUGUUACAUGUUUGGGCCUAAUGUGCUAAGUGUUGCUUUUACCGCUUUGAUAUUUCGUGAACUGUAUAUAAAUUGUUGUGAAACCCCUCCUCUAUAUGAGUCUUCUAAAUCAUGAAGAAGUGUGCACUUCGGGUGACUUCUUUUCUGUUAGAGUCAUAUCUCAAAUUUAGAACGAGGUUCUGACAAGUUGCAUAGAUGGUGAAGCUUCUGUAUUCCCGGUACGCUGUCCCCCCUCGGCUCGAGCUGUCUGCUCGGGUAAGCUAGGUCUAGAACAAUAAACCCCAGGAUUUAAACCUAGAGAAACACAGCUUCAUGCCGGAUCCCUAGUAGGAACACUUGUUUGCAUCAUGUGCAUUUGACUUAGGGGACUCAGCACAAGGGUUGGGUCCGUCUAGGACAGGUGUACCCAAAAUAACAUACCAUCUUGAUGUAUUCUAUGUGCUACAUAUUGCAUUUCUUCAAGGGUAAAAGGGUCAUUUGGCGGACCAAUGAUAAUUGAGGGCUAACAAAAAAAAAGAAAAAAGAAGGAAAAAGAGAGGAUGAAGUGUGAGGAUGAAGCGAGUGAGGCCUAAUUAUGUUUUAUGUUACAUUUUGUUAAGAAAAAAAGAUCAUGGAAACUUCAAAAAGAUUUUGCACUCUUUAUCAUUUUUCAAAAAUAAAAUAAAAAGUCGAAAAAAAAGAAAAAAAAAUCCAAAAAGAUUUUAUAUGUUUCAUCAUUUUUCAAAAAAAAAAGACAAAAGAUGUGUUUUCUAUAUGUCAGUUGUUUUUUUAUUAUUUUCGUCCGUAUCCAAUCUGCCCGAACUACGCAUACCUAAUUCUCAUUUUUCGGGACGUGAUACGUAGACAAUCCACAUAGAGUCCGGUCUUCCUAGUAAAUCUUAGGUUCUUGGCUUUGCGGGGUCAUAGCUAAAUUUUGCACUUCUAGCCACCUUGUGGCCAAAUAAGCCAGUUUGCAAAAAUAGCCUCAACCAUAUCUUUUAUGUGUCCAGUAGGGAGUGUUAUUGUCUCAUAUAGUGUUGAUUUAAAGUUUUCUCAUACAGGUGCGGAUUUAUUUACCGAAGUUUGAGCAUGAUAGACACCCCGUGACCAUCCGGUCAGGAUCGCUCAGUCAGGAGUUGCUUGAGGAGAUUUGUUUUACUUUUAAGUUUUGAGUCUGUUCUUCAUUUUAUGUCGUCUUUUGCUUUCUAGUUUUGUACAGUAAUGUUAAGCCUUUUGUUAUUAUAUUUUCUGCUUUAUAUUUGGAAAAUAUGUUGUAACUCAAAAAUCCAAAAAAGAGAUGUUGCAUUUUAUAUUUCGUUAUAAAUUUUCUUUAGAAUACUAAUUCUAGAAAUGAGAAAAUUUUGAGGUUGUUUUUCCUUUAGGCAAUUAAUAUCUAGUACUUAAAAUGAAUUGUUUUUAUGUUUCCUUUAGUAUAUUAGGACCGAAAUUAAGAAAAAAAAAGAAUUUUCUUUUAGUACAUCUUUAAAAGUUUUCUUUAAGGCAUUAAUUCCAAAAUCCAAAAAAAAAAUCUUGUGAGGUGUUUCUUUGGGAAAUUAUUGAAAGAUGGAAAAAAUAUUUCUUUUUAUUUUUAUUAGAACUUUAGGAUUUUGUACAUUGGAAAAAAAAGAAUACUUUAUCUUUUGUUUAUCAUUAGAAAUUUUUCUUUAGGCAAUCAAAAUUGAAAUCCAAAAAUAUUAUGUUUUAUCUUUUUCAUUUCUUGCUUCGAAAUCUUGCGUCAGGAUAUCAAAUGAAGAUUCAAAAUAUUUUUUCUGUGGUUUAUUCCUUAGUUUUCCUUCAUAAAAAAAGAAGAAUCAAAAAAUAUUUUUCUCUUUUAGGGGUUUUCUUUGAUAAUUUCUCAUAUAGUAUCUGUUUUAAAAAAAGAAAGAAAACAAGAAAAGAAAAGAAAAGAAAAAUGUUUGUUUGUUUACUUUAUUCCCGAUCUUCCAGAACUACGCAAAGAAUUCAUGCGGUGUCAUGAUACGUAGGCUACCUACAUAGGGUUCGAUCGAAUCAUUUUUUUUACUGUUAAAAGAAAAGAAAAAAAAGGAAAAAAGGAAACAAAAAGAGAGAGAGAAAAAAAAAAGAUGAAAUUGUGAGAUGUGAGAAAUGAGAGGAAAGAAAAGAGUGAAAUUAGAAAAAAAAGGAAGGAAAAUGAUCAAGCAAGUGCUAGAAAAGAAAAGAAAAGAGAGGAUUAAAAUGAACAAAUUGGGAUGAUGCCAACUGACCUUCGUACCCUCGAAGUCAUUUUAGAACCGAUAACUGUGGCUAGGUGCAUUGCACAUAAAGUGAGAUUAUCUUAUGUUAAAUGCCUUAACGCUAACGUGAUGGCUUCAUUUUGUUAUAUCCAUAGCAUAAAGGUGGUUGGUUUGUGGUUUUUUAUAGUGGUAACUCUACUCUACAACAUAAUGUCAAAAGGCAAUGGCAGACAACAACAGAACUGAGUUGGUUGAUACCGGUGCCCGGAAGCAGUUGUUUGAACAGGACAAUGGGUUGGUUGAAGAGGUAAAGACGUUAAGACAACACAUGGCGGACAUGUAUCAGGCUUGGAUGACUGGGAAGGCACCACCCCCGCUACCAACUAGCUUCCUAAAUACUACCCUUACCCAAACACCGGUCACAGUGCUAGAUGAUCCCCCAUACUCUCCAGAUCCACCCGUUUAUCAUGGCUUUCCCAACCACCCUAGUAGCUCCAUCACUCAUCUUCCUAAUUACCUUUCCCAAAAAUUUCCCUCCGAUCUUAUCCACCAUCCCUAACAAUGAACACCCAAUCAAACCUCAUGAUGCCCAAUAUUACCCCUCAGAGGUUGCCCACAAGGUUCCCAACUCCUACAAGCAGGGUCCGCGGGAUGGGCCUCAUUUUGUAAAUGAAUAGUUCACAGGAAGAAAAGGGCGAGAUGGGAUACCCAGGAGGCUGAAAGGUAUAGAACAGUCCUUAAAGAACAAGCACAGAAUGGGAGAUCAGGGUAGCAUGUCAUACAAAGAAUGGUCUAUGUCCCUCGACGUUCGUCUGUCUGCUGGGUUUAAAGGGCCAAAGUUUAACUUGUAUGAUGGGUGUGGGGAUCUGGUAGCCCAUUUGAGGGAUUAUUACAAUAAAAUGAGAAGUGUUGGCGAGAAAGAUGAUUUGUUGAUGGCGUACUUCAGUGAGAGCCUGACUGGGCCAGCGUUGGAGUGGCAUAAUCGCUAAGAUGUUGGUAAGUGGCCUACAUUGGGUGACAUGGUUCAAGAUUUCGUUCGAUACUUUCAAUACAGAUCGGGUGUUACCCCAAACCACUCCUCCCUAUCUAAAAUAGAAAAGAAGCCGGAGGAAAGCUUUAGAGAGUUUGGGCUCAGAUGGAGGGAGCAGGCUGCUCGAGUCAAUACCCCGAUUGGUGAAAAAGAAAUGGUUGAGCUUUUCAUACAAGCUCAGGGGCCCACCUACUUUAGUCAUUUGAUCCCGGCCUUGGGGAAGCCUUUCAAUGACGUGUUAAAAAUGGGGAAGCUAGUAGAAGAGGGAAUCAAGUCAGGCAAAAUCAUGAGUUGUUCGAAAAACAUUCAGAACAUCCCAGUAAGCUUGGGUGGAUGAAAGAGAAAUAGAAAAGAUGAUCUAAUGGGCUUUCCCGAUCAACACUUCCAGCCUCGAAAUCGUCCCCGUGGAUAUCCUUAUGCACCAGAUGAUCAUCCCCAAUGCCCCUUCUCUCCACAGAACUCCCAAAGUCGUACAUCACUCUCCCAGUACCCAGCUCCACAAAAUGCCUAUCUACCCCCACGAGCCUAUCGAAAACCCCCUAGAUCAGGUUUCCAGCCCAGUCAACCCUUUAAGAACGAGAGGUUACAGAAGAAGAAAACAUUCACUCCAUUGGGAGUGUCAUAUACCAGUCUGUUCCAGAGGCUAAGGAAAUUGGAAAUGUUGAAUCCGACCUAGAUAAAAAUGCCAAACCCUCUUCCAAAGAAGUUUGAUUUUUCUCAAAGGUGCGCCUAUUGCUCGGAUGCCCCAGAGCAUGACAUAGAGAAGUGUUGGAAUAUAAAGAAUGCGAUUCAGAAGCUUAUUGAUGCAGGCGACAUUGUUGUGCAAAAUCCAAAUGUAGCAGACACUAGCCAAAGUCCAUCGCCAGUGCAUAAUGAGACGCAUAUGGUGGGUAUGGUUUAUUUUGAAAAGGAAUGUGAGGAUUCUUCUGGGAGCCUCGAAAGUCCAUGUGCUACUAAGAUUUCAGCGCUAUCAAAGGUUAAUCUUAAGAACGAACCGGCAAAAUGAACCCAAAAGCAAUUUGUUAAGAACAAUAUGAUAAAGACUUGUGGAGGUCCUAGUAUUGCUGAUGCAGAAUUCAGUGGCUAAGAUACCAUGCUUGGUAAUUAGAAAGAUGCUCCAUUUCUUGGUCAGCCGGAGAGGAGCUUUUGGUGGUUUAGUUUGUUGUCAUUUUUGUUGUCCGGGUUAUUGUAGGGUUGUAAUCUGGACAUCAUCUUGUGGCUCAAAUCCUUCUAUCCGUUAUUUUGUCUAGUUCCUUUAGUCGUAUUAUCUCACUUAGUGUUUUCUAGGUUUGUUCUAGGUUUGUAACCCCAAUUUAGUUUGUCUGUUUUGUUGUCCAAACCCUUUCACCAUUUGUUUAAUGCAACUUUCUAUUUUCUAUAGUUUCUAGUCAUUUUCGUUUAGUUCUCUUGUCUUUUCAUAGUUCUUUUCCUGUUAACUAUAGUGACAUGACAUGCACGCGUAAUUCUCAAUCUGGUUUUAAAAUUCAGUUUGAUCACGAAGCAAUGAAACAAUAUUGAAGAUGUAAGGACAUUUGGGGGAAAUAAAUAAAGGCAUUUUGAGAUCACUUCAAGCCCGAAUUGUGUAAAGCUGGGGAAGAUAGAACAAAAAGAAAUACUAUUGAAACGCAUCCUACCGCAUCAGGUUGAAGCUAAAGGCAAGUUUGCCCCAAAUUGGCAGGGGUCGUUCGUGGUAACGAAAGUGUUGUCCAAUGGUUCUUUGUAUUUAACAGAUGUAGAAGGCGAAUGUUUGGAUAUGGUAAUCAAGUCUGAUACAAUCAAAAGGUGUUACGAAUGCUUUCCUUGGUUAGUUUAAUUGUGUUGUUUGUACUUGACAUAUUUUGAAGAUUGGAAUGACGAAGACAUUUUUUUCUGCUAUCUAAACACCUUAUCCUUCGUUACCCCUUUGAGCCUUGUUUAUUUUCUUUCAUACCCCUCUUUUGGAAUCAGUAGCAAAGAUUAGAAACACAAGCGUGAAAGAUAAUUAAAGGAAAAGGAGAAAAGAAAAGAACGAAAAGGGAGAGAAGAAAAAAGAAAAUCGAAAAAAAAGAAAAAAGAAAAAAAAGAGAAAGAAAAGAAUGAAAAGAAAAAAAGAAGAAGAAAAACAACAAAAAGAGAAAAAGAAAGCAAAAAAGAGAAAGAAAAAAGAGAAAAUCACAACAACAAAGUAAUUCCUAUGUCAUGAACUAUGUUCGACCNNNNNNNNNNNNNNNNNNNNNNCUUGUUAGGAAUCAUCUCUUUCCUUUGUCCUUUACUCUGUUCCUUUUGUCUUGUUUACUUUUUCUUCCUGAGUCCGUUUGGUCAGAAUAAGUGAAAAAUGACCUCAAAAUUUACCACCAGCUUUCCAAUUGCACAAAACGAGAUCUGGCCAGCACAUCAAAGUGGCAUAAGUUAGGAAAGAAUAACAAGGGACACUGAGUUGGUAGCAAUCAACAUGCUUUGGGGUCCAUGAGAAAUACAAAUGUUUGGUAUAUUUCAAUUUGCGAACAGUGCAACAGAUAGAGGAUGUUGGGUGAAUGGGUCAAAAGUAUUCUCUGUGAUGAGAUCAACAAAGAAAGUGUUUAACCAGUGACAAGCAAGGUAUUCCAAGCAGAAAUCAAAGUUAUCAUUACAAGUGAGGGAACAAUAGACUUCAAGGCCAAGGCCAGUGAUUUAAGUCAGGAAGGAACAGCAUGCGCACUAAGUGGAGAGCAAUUAACGUGCUUUGGAAUUCAUGUCAACACAAGAGCACGAUACAACAAAUAGAGGGUGUUAGGUGGACGAAUCAAAGGUAUUUUCGGUGAAACACAAAGGUUGGUAAAUGUCAGUUCAUGGAGCAAUGCAACAGAUAUAGGGUAUUGGGUCUGAACGGAGAAGAGGUAUUUUCUAUGAUAAGGAUGACAGAGAAAGUGGUUAGCAAAGUCUUCAGUAGAAGUCAAAGUUAUCAUGGGAAGUGGAGGAGAAAUCGCCCUCAAAGUCAAGGCCACAAACCAACCAUCGCAUUUUAAACUGACAAGAUUUUUCUUUGAUUGAAACAGGGGCAGAAAAUUUCGUUCGUUUCGGAGAAAUCCUACGCAAGGAAAAGCGAGCACCAGAUAUGUUUGACCGUAAACUCUCAGGACCUUCCUGGAAAAUAUGGCCUAGUUUAAAAUUCAAAACCAUCAUGAGUAGCAUAAGCUAGCAUAAAUGUACCACAAAGGAAUAUAAGUUGGUUUCAAAGUUUGCAUGCUUAAGAUAGGAUUUAAUUAGGAGUUUUCAGGACCCUCCUGUAAAAUGGGAACUAGAUUAAAAAUCGAAACAAUCAUAAGUAGCGUAAAUAUACCCCAAGCAAUAUAAGUUGGUUUCAAGGUCUGCAUUGUUUAAGAUAGGAUGUAGUUAGGAGUUUCCAGGACCCUCCUGAAUAAUGAGACUUAGCUUUAAGAUUUCGAAUAGAUAACAACAUUUAGCGUAGACUCUGCUGUAGGGUAGUAUAAUUCAGCCAUGAAAGUUGUCACCCUUAAGAUAAAACUUGACCUUUGAUUUUCAGGACCCUCCUGGAUAAUGGGGAGUAGUUUAAGACCUUCUUAGAUAACAGGAUGUAGGGGAAGUCAUGCCUUUAAAAGAUAUAGCUUAGAUUUAAAAUUGUUGUUCAGUUAAGAGUUGUCAGGACCCCCCUGAAUAAUGGGACCUAGCUUUCAAAUUCUUAGUAAUAUUUGGUAAUAUGAUUAAGUUUAACACUUACAUAUGUGCCCACCUACCAAAUUGGGGCAGAAAAUUUUCUUUGUUUUGUUUAUUUUGUUGAAGUCAGGAGUCCGCCUGGAGAGCAGGGAAUACAUUUCAAGUCAGUAGCCAGGAGCCCGCCUGGAGAGCAGAGAAUACAUUUCAAGUCAGGAGCCCGCCUGGAGAGUAGGGAAUACAUUCAUAUUAAGCAGUCAGGAGCCCGCCUGGAGAGCAUGGGAAUACGUUUCAAGUUCAGCGAUCAGGAGCCCUCCUGGAGAGUAGGGAAUACAUUUCAAGUUAGCAGUCAGGAGCCUACUUGGAGAGCACGGGAAUACAAUUUAAGUUCAACAAUCAGGCAUCCACCUAAAGAAAAGGAAAAGCAUCUCAGAUUGCGAUUCAAGUCAACAGCCAAAGAAGCUCGCGGCAAGAAUGUGAGUCAACGGUCUGAGGUGAUCAACAAAAGUUAGUCACAAUAAAGAAAAAAAGGAGAAAAGCAAGAAGUCAACCAAAUGCAGAAGUUGAUGAAGGAUGUGAGUUGUUCAAGACAUGGCCGAGGUAACAAGCACCACAUGUCCGGUCUUGGUCCGAAAAUAUGAAGAAGAACGACCUAGCACCUGCAGCUAACAAGCGCCAAGGUUCAAAUCUAAAGUCUACAUGAAGAACCAUUCAAGACUCAAGAUCAAGCUUUCAGAAGACUUAUAGAUAGGAAUCUUAUAACUCGUAGUUGAUAGGUUUAGUUAGUCUUUAUCAUGUUUUGAUUUUUGAUGUAAUAACAGGAACCGUGGACCGGAACCACAGCGGAGCGGCACCUCGACCGGAUCUCCACCUCGACAUACUCCGUCAUCUCACUCAUCUAUGAACUACACGAGGCCUGAUUCCUUUAUAGCCAAGGAUAUGUAGGCAGCUCAGAUACCAGGGCUCGGUCACAUUUCUCUCUCUCUUAGUUUUGGUUUCUUUAAAUAAGGGUCGGGUCAAAAUAACUGUCUAGUCGUUCUUUGUCCGAAAACGCUUCGCGUUUCCAGUCAAAGAGGGGCAGCUGAAGACAUGUGAUUUUUGACCCUUCCCAAGAUUUUUCAUAUUUUAGCAUGUAAAUAUUUAAUUUAGGCCUAAUAUAGCUAUUUCAACUAUUUCUAAGUUCUUUACUUUAUUUUCGUCAUAAAAAUGGAAAAUUACGAAAAAAUAUAUUUUUAGCUUAUGUAUCUUUCAUAAAUUUAAAUAAAAAAUAUACAAAAAUAGUACUUCUUUUUAUCUUUAUAUAAUUUUGAAAAUACAAAAAAUAUAUCAUAGUUUCAUGUUAGCUUUCACAUUGUGUAGUAUUUUUAUCUUAUUUUAAAAGGAGUCGAUUAAGGUGUUGGAUCAUAAUUUUAAGAGUUUUAGAACUCAGUUCUUGGCCCAAUUCAGAUUAAUUCAUUAAGCCUAGGAACCCUUUUAGAUUCUUUUUUAGAACAAAAAAUAAAUAAAAAGACCCUAAGGACUUAACAUAAAAAGACCUAGGGACUAAUUGACAAAUACACAAAAUUAACCUAGACCUAGAUAUAUAUACACAAGUCUAGUAGCUGAAGAAAAGGGAGAAGGGAGCGCAGCUUUUAACGGAUCCCCGACCCCCCACUUCAUUUUCUUCACAAGCACCCCCCUCGUUUUAAUCUUCUUCAGCAAAUAAGAACAAAAAGCAGAAAUACACAAGAGACCCACCCCCCUGAUUUCGUCUUCUCCGAACAACCCACCCCCUAAAGUUCACCUCCCUCAAACCACCCCACCCCCGAACGACCCUGAGCCUCUUCUUCUUCGUGACCCCCUCACCCAAGAACACACAACCAUCAGCCAUUAUUGAGAAGAGGGGACCUGAAGAGCUAAUCUAAUGCCUAGGAGCUAAAAACACAAAAAAAUGAGAGCUGAAACCAGCCGAAACGCACACGACCUCUUCCCCUCCCCUAACAUGUUCUUCUUCUCCAUGAACAUUGGAGAACCCUAAGACGAAAACCUCCAAACACCAGCAGCAGCCAUCGCCUCCUUCAUCUUCAUCGCCGGCUACCAUUCUUCUUUCUCCCUCGUCUCCCGUUUCUCUAUUAUUGCUGCGACGGGGACGACGGGAUUGACCAUAUAUACAUGUUUUCCGAUAGCUCACUUCUAGUACAUGUGAGGUCUAUUUCAGUUGCGUGUCGAAGUUGCCGUUCGAGGGCUCCGUCCAUGGUUCGUCGUGUUUGAGUUUAACGUUGCCUCACAACUAAUGUAUUGAUCCAUUUUGAGGUUUGGUUCCUCAUUUUUUCAUACUCCGUUUGCUUAAUAGUGUACUUCCGUCAACUUUGUUGUUCACUGUUAUAUGGAUGUUUGAGUUAUUUGUUCAGUUUGCUUUUAUUCUUAUUUAACGUUACGUGAGAAAACUUUGAGAUUUCCACUGGUGUUGUUUGUGUUUCCCUGUUGAUUGAAUGAAUGAUAUUGGG